rnacentral:rRNA from 1 species
GAUGAACGCUGGCGGCGUGCUUAACACAUGCAAGUCGAACGGAAAGGCCCAAGCUUGCUUGGGUACUCGAGUGGCGAACGGGUGAGUAACACGUGGGUGAUCUGCCCUGCACUUCGGGAUAAGCCUGGGAAACUGGGUCUAAUACCGGAUAGGACCACAUUUUGGAUGGUGUGGUGGAAAGUUUUUCGGUGUGGGAUGAGCUCGCGGCCUAUCAGCUUGUUGGUGGGGUAAUGGCCUACCAAGGCGUCGACGGGUAGCCGGCCUGAGAGGGUGUACGGCCACAUUGGGACUGAGAUACGGCCCAGACUCCUACGGGAGGCAGCAGUGGGGAAUAUUACACAAUGGGCGCAAGCCUGAUGCAGCGACGCCGCGUGGGGGAUGACGGCCUUCGGGUUGUAAACUCCGUUCGCUAGGGACGAAGCGUUAUGUGACGGUACCUGGAGAAGAAGCACCGGCUAACUACGUG